rnacentral:rRNA from 1 species
AGAAGGGAGCUCUGCUCCCGCGAUGUUAGCGGCGGACGGGUGAGUAACACGUGGGUAACCUGCCUGUAAGACUGGGAUAACUCCGGGAAACCGGAGCUAAUACCGGAUAGUUCCUUGAACCGCAUGGUUCAAGGAUGAAAGACGGUUUCGGCUGUCACUUACAGAUGGACCCGCGGCGCAUUAGCUAGUUGGUGGGGUAAUGGCUCACCAAGGCGACGAUGCGUAGCCGACCUGAGAGGGUGAUCGGCCACACUGGGACUGAGACACGGCCCAGACUCCUACGGGAGGCAGCAGUAGGGAAUCUUCCGCAAUGGACGAAAGUCUGACGGAGCAACGCCGCGUGAGUGAUGAAGGUUUUCGGAUCGUAAAGCUCUGUUGUUAGGGAAGAACAAGUGCGAGAGUAACUGCUCGCACCUUGACGGUACCUAACCAGAAAGCCACGGCUAACUACGUGCCAGCAGCCGCGGUAAUACGUAGGUGGCAAGCGUUGUCCGGAAUUAUUGGGCGUAAAGGGCUCGCAGGCGGUUUCUUAAGUCUGAUGUGAAAGCCCCCGGCUCAACCGGGGAGGGUCAUUGGAAACUGGGAAACUUGAGUGCAGAAGAGGAGAGUGGAAUUCCACGUGUAGCGGUGAAAUGCGUAGAGAUGUGGAGGAAC